rnacentral:rRNA from 1 species
GACGAACGCUGGCGGCGUGCCUAAUACAUGCAAGUAGAACGCUGAAGAGAGGAGCUUGCUCUUCUUGGAUGAGUUGCGAACGGGUGAGUAACGCGUAGGUAACCUGCCUUGUAGCGGGGGAUAACUAUUGGAAACGAUAGCUAAUACCGCAUAACAAUGGAUGACACAUGUCAUUUAUUUGAAAGGGGCAAUUGCUCCACUACAAGAUGGACCUGCGUUGUAUUAGCUAGUAGGUGAGGUAACGGCUCACCUAGGCGACGAUACAUAGCCGACCUGAGAGGGUGAUCGGCCACACUGGGAAUGAGAAACGGCCCAGACUCCUACGGGAGGCAGCAGUAGGGAAUCUUCGGCAAUGGGGGCAACCCUGACCGAGCAACGCCGCGGGAGUGAAGAAGGGUUUCGGAUCGUAAAGCUCUGUUGUAAGUCAAGAACGAGUGUGAGAGUGGAAAGUUCACACUGUGACGGUAGCUUAACAGAAAGGGACGGCUAACUACGUG